ACGGGUGCGUAACGCGUAUACAAUCUGCCUUUAACUAAGGGAUAGCCCAGAGAAAUUUGGAUUAAUACCUUAUAUUAUUGUGAUUUGGCAUCAUAUUACAAUUAAAACUUCGGUGGUUAAAGAUGAGUAUGCAUCCUAUUAGCUUGUUGGUAAGGUAAUGGCUUACCAAGGCAACGAUAGGUAGGGGGCCUGAAAGGGUGAUCCCCCACACUGGUACUGAGACACGGACCAGACUCCUACGGGAGGCAGCAGUGAGGAAUAUUGCGCAAUGGAGGAAACUCUGACGCAGCCAUGCCGCGUGCAGGAAGAAUGCCCUACGGGUUGUAAACUGCUUUUAUAUAGGAAGAAACCCCGAUACGUGUAUCGGCUUGACGGUACUAUAUGAAUAAGGACCGGCUAACUCCGUGCCAGCAGCCGCGGUAAUACGGAGGGUCCAAGCGUUAUCCGGAUUUAUUAGGUUUAAAGGAUCCGCAGGCGGGAUUUUAAGUCAGUGGUGAAAGCCUACAGCUCAACUGUAGAACUGCCAUUGAAACUGAAAUUCUUGAGUGUGGUUGAAGUGGGCGGAAUAUGUCAUGUAGCGGUGAAAUGCAUAGAUAUGACAUAGAACACCAAUUGCGAAGGCAGCUCACUAAGCCAUUACUGACGCUCAUGGACGAAAGCGUGGGGAGCGAACAGGAUUAGAUACCCUGGUAGUCCACGCCGUAAACGAUGAUCACUCGUUGCUGGUAAUAUACCAUCAGUGACCAAGCGAAAGUGUUAA
rnacentral:rRNA from 1 species